UAACACUUCUUCUUAUCGAUGGAAGUUAUGGUUUCGAAAUGUUCCUAAGAGGUUCAGGCUUGCAAAGGACACAACAUUUGGACAAAGGCACUUGAAUAAGUGGAGUCAGUCAUCAAUUUCCUUAUGGAUGAUGUUGUAGAUGUUAAUGAGUCUGGAAGUAGCAAGUUAGGUGGAUCCGAGCCUGAGGGUGCUGUUCUCUGCUUGCAGGAUCGAUUAAAGUGGCUCAAUCAGCAGGUCAUCAGAAAGGUUGUAUAAUUUCCAAAAGCCUAUCCUUUCAUGAUUUACUGCGAUCACUAUCUACAUCCUCUUUUCGUCUAUCCUUCCUUUCAAGUUUUUUGUUCUAAGUGCUGCUCCCUCAUGAUAGAUUACCUGUUAACUUUUUCAUGUUUUUUUUUUACCAUCAAGGACAACCUGGAGUGUUUUGCUAAUUGAGAAUGACUUUAAAAGAAAAAAUUAUAUUGGUCUUAAAAAUGAGAAUGACUGUACACCCCGGUUUAUCUUAUUUCUUUGGGAUCUGGAAAUGAGAUGAAAAUAAAAUUUAUCAUCAAGACUGAAAACCAAUUUGAUGCUUUAAUGUUUCUCUUGUUUAAAGGUUGGUCUGCAUUAUAAUUGAAGUAUUCAUGGGAAAAAAUAUGUUUAUACUUUUCUUCUUUCUAUUAUGA